rnacentral:lncRNA from 1 species
CGAGCUCUCGGUUCCAGUCGUUAUUAGGGAUUGCUUUAAGUUUUCGACUUCUUCCUCCAGUUCCAUCUUUCUCAGCAGUAUCUAUCGGUACAUCUGGUGGAACCACCGGCUUUCGCCCUUCGACUCCUGAAGCCUCUUCGUCAGGACCUCAGACUCCACCUCGGCAUCUUUGAUCGCCUGCUACUCGUAGGCCAGCUGAAUCUUCAGUCGCUAUAGUUCGGCCUUCUUCUGCCUAAGGG